UACGUAGGGGGCAAGCGUUGUCCGGAUUUAUUGGGCGUAAAGAGCGUGUAGGCGGCCAGAUAGGUCAGCUGUGAAAACUCGAGGCUCAACCUCGAGACGUCGGUUGAAACCAUCUGGCUAGAGUCCGGAAGAGGAGAGUGGAAUUCCCGGUGUAGCGGUGAAAUGCGCAGAUAUCGGGAAGAACACCCGUGGCGAAGGCGGCUCUCUGGGACGGUACUGACGCUGAUGCGCGAAAGCGUGGGGAGCAAACAGG
rnacentral:rRNA from 1 species